rnacentral:rRNA from 1 species
AACAGGAAGAAGCUUGCUUCUUUGCUGACGAGUGGCGGACGGGUGAGUAAUGUCUGGGAAACUGCCUGAUGGAGGGGGAUAACUACUGGAAACGGUAGCUAAUACCGCAUAACGUCGCAAGACCAAAGAGGGGGACCUUCGGGCCUCUUGCCAUCGGAUGUGCCCAGAUGGGAUUAGCUAGUAGGUGGGGUAACGGCUCACCUAGGCGACGAUCCCUAGCUGGUCUGAGAGGAUGACCAGCCACACUGGAACUGAGACACGGUCCAGACUCCUACGGGAGGCAGCAGUGGGGAAUAUUGCACAAUGGGCGCAAGCCUGAUGCAGCCAUGCCGCGUGUAUGAAGAAGGCCUUCGGGUUGUAAAGUACUUUCAGCGGGGAGGAAGGGAGUAAAGUUAAUACCUUUGCUCAUUGACGUUACCCGCAGAAGAAGCACCGGCUAACUCCGUGCCAGCAGCCGCGGUAAUACGGAGGGUGCAAGCGUUAAUCGGAAUUACUGGGCGUAAAGCGCACGCAGGCGGUUUGUUAAGUCAGAUGUGAAAUCCCCGGGCUCAACAUGGGAACUGCAUCUGAUACUGGCAAGCUUGAGUCUCGUAGAGGGGGGUAGAAUUCCAGGUGUAGCGGUGAAAUGCGUAGAGAUCUGGAGGAAUACCGGUGGCGAAGGCG